GAAAGAUGGCACUGGGAAGAAAGUAAAAAACUAAACAGGAACCUGCACUUCUCUGUCCUCAUCAUGAAUCACAACAAAAACCUCAUGGGCUUCUCCAUCGAGUUUCCAAAUAACCUCCUGGCUGAUCAGCCUGUUACCCUAAUUGUGUGAAGACUUUGCACAAAUGGCAUGUGAAAUUCCUAAGACUUAUUUGGUGAAAAUUAGCUUCUACUGCUGGAUUCCUUCUCUUCCACCUUCAAAAAACUUCCAUGCACCUUCAUAUGUUUGCUGAAUUCCAAAGCAAAAAAAAAAACCCAGAACAAAAUUUCCC